CUUUUUGAACAAAUAAAACAAGGUAAAUGUUACCAACACUUCAGUGAUAACUCAACUCUCGUUCUCUAUUCUCUCUCUCACCAAAAAUCUCACCGAUCAAAAUGAAUCGACGACAACAAUCAAUCGCCACGGUCGCCGCCACAUCACCACCGUCAUGCAUCAUCGUCGUCACGCCAAUUCAGUUUUCUUUUCUCGACCACAAACAACAAAUCGAUCACAGAAGCAGAGCUAUUCACCACAUUAACGUUCUUUCUCUCUUCACAACCUCGAAUAAUCACUUUGAUUCUUCGUUCAGUUCACAACGUCAAUUCAUAGCUCGAUUCAUCAGCAUUCCAUUCAUUGCAGAAUCUUCAUCUUAGGGUUCGUGAUUUUGUUCUAAUUAAUUCAAUUUGAGAUAAGUGAUAAUUUGUGUUUUUGUUCUUAGUUAUAAUUUGUUGAUUCUGUUAUUCGUUAUUCAUUCAUUCAUUUGUUCAUGCUUAUGCUUUAGCUGAAGCUUAGCAAUCAUCGAUUUCGGUAACCACCAGUGUCCAACCAUCAAGAAUUCAACGAUAUCAAUCUUCGGAUUGCAGCUCUAGCUACCAAAAGACAGCAUUGUUUCCCUCGUUGUAUUAUUGUGAAAUUUGACAGUGAAAUUUUCUCUUGGAAGGUUUUGGUGUUGGUUGAGGUUUCGGUGUUGGAUACGAUUUCAGAGGACCAAAACGGAAGUUAUUUUGAUUCAGGGUAGUUCCAGAUUGUUGCCUAACAAGGGUGAUUGGGAAAUCAAUCUAUAUGAGUUCGAUUUCUCAAGUUCUAUGCGUAUUGGAAAGGUACUGCCUCCUGCGUUUUAUUCUCUUGUAGACAAUGUGAAUGAUGAAGGAAAAGCCAAUACUAUUUGAGGUACUCUAGCCAGUACUGCCUCCUGCAUUUAAGUGAUGUAUUUGUUGUUUUGAUUUGGUGGUAAGCAACAAACAUUGGUGUGGAAGUGCAUCCAUUGGAUGUCUUCACAAACUACGGCAAGAUUUGCUUCUACUGUUGGGAUACUGCUGGAUAGGAGAAGUUUGGUGGCCUCAGAGAUGGAUAUAUUAGGUGGGGAGCUCUAUUCUUGGAGGUCUGACUUGACAGUUCCAUUUUCUAGAUUUGCAGAUAUGGAUGGUCUAACAUCUUUAAAAAGGUCUUAUUUGUUUCUUCAUUAUCCUCCAUUAGCCCUGUUUAUGUAUGGACCCCGGAGAUUACAGUCUUCUUUCAUCUUUCACCUUCAUUGCAGGAAGGAAGUAGAUGGAGGCAUUACUUUAAUUAAGUAUAUCUUCCCAACAUAUUGUUAGUUUAGCUUGUUAAGUUCAUGUACAUUUAUACUUUUUUGCUUUCUUUUUAAUGAGUCGGGCCCAUCUGUCUUUCUUCUGAUUGUAUUAUUUACUUUUGGUGCUUUUAACUACAGUGUGUCUAUAUUAGGAAUUGGUUUCAAUUUGUGUAUAGUGAUCUUAAUAUUAAUAAGAAUUUGAGAUGGAAUCAAUUGUUUGUGUUUUACUGAUUGA